AAAUACCACCCUUUAAUGUUUGAUGUUCUAACGUGGACCCGUAAUCCGGGUUGCGGACAGUGUCUGGUGGGUAGUUUGACUGGGGCGGUCUCCUCCUAAAGAGUAACGGAGGAGCACGAAGGUUGGCUAAUCCUGGUCGGACAUCAGGAGGUUAGUGCAAUGGCAUAAGCCAGCUUGACUGCGAGCGUGACGGCGCGAGCAGGUGCGAAAGCAGGUCAUAGUGAUCCGGUGGUUCUGAAUGGAAGGGCCAUCGCUCAACGGAUAAAAGGUACUCCGGGGAUAACAGGCUGAUACCGCCCAAGAGUUCAUAUCGACGGCGGUGUUUGGCACCUCGAUGUCGGCUCAUCACAUCCUGGGGCUGAAGUAGGUCCCAAGGGUAUGGCUGUUCGCCAUUUAAAGUGGUACGCGAGCUGGGUUUAGAACGUCGUGAGACAGUUCGGUCCCUAUCUGCCGUGGGCGCUGGAGAACUGAGGGGGGCUGCUCCUAGUACGAGAGGACCGGAGUGGACGCAUCACUGGUGUUCGGGUUGUCAUGCCAAUGGCACUGCCCGGUAGCUAAAUGCGGAAGAGAUAAGUGCUGAAAGCAUCUAAGCACGAAACUUGCCCCGAGAUGAGUUCUCCCUGAGACUUUAGGUCUCCUGAAGGAACGUUGAAGACGACGACGUUGAUAGGCCGGGUGUGUAAGCGCAGCGAUGCGUUGAGCUAACCGGUACUAAUGAACCGUGAGGCUUAACCUUACAACGCCGAAG
rnacentral:rRNA from 1 species